GCGGUGACGCAAAGCGGAACUUGAAAGCCUGUCUCAGUUCGGAUUGGAGUCUGCAACUCGACUCCAUGAAGCUGGAUUCGCUAGUAAUCGCGCAUCAGCCAUGGCGCGGUGAAUACGUUCCCGGGUCUUGUACACACCGCCCGUCACACCACGAGAGUUUACAACACCCGAAGUCAGUGGCCUAACCGCAAGGAGGGAGCUGCCUAAGGUGGGGUAGAUGAUUGGGGUGAAGUCGUAACAAGGUAAC
rnacentral:rRNA from 1 species